rnacentral:rRNA from 1 species
UCCUACGGGAGGGCAGCAGUGGGGAAUAUUGCACAAUGGGCGCAAGCCUGAUGCAGCCAUGCCGCGUGUAUGAAGAAGGCCUUCGGGUUGUAAAGUACUUUCAGCGGGGAGGAA